rnacentral:piRNA from 1 species
UGGCAGGAUGUCCUUGGUUUCUCUGC